UGGGGAAUAUUGCACAAUGGGGGAAACCCUGAUGCAGCGACGCCGCGUGAAGGAAGAAGUAUCUCGGUAUGUAAACUUCUAUCAGCAGGGAAGAUAGUGACGGUACCUGACUAAGAAGCCCCGGCUAACUACGUGCCAGCAGCCGCGGUAAUACGUAGGGGGCAAGCGUUAUCCGGAUUUACUGGGUGUAAAGGGAGCGUAGACGGUGUGGCAAGUCUGAUGUGAAAGGCAUGGGCUCAACCUGUGGACUGCAUUGGAAACUGUCAUACUUGAGUGCCGGAGGGGUAAGCGGAAUUCCUAGUGUAGCGGUGAAAUGCGUAGAUAUUAGGAGGAACACCAGUGGCGAAGGCGGCUUACUGGACGGUAACUGACGUUGAGGCUCGAAAGCGUGGGGAGCAAACA
rnacentral:rRNA from 2 species